CCGUGGCUUAGUGGAAGAGCAUCUGCUCGGCAUGCCGAAGGCUGCAGGUUCAAUCCCGGCUAUUAAACUUAAGGA
rnacentral:tRNA from 1 species